ensembl:lncRNA
GGGGGCGGCAGGGUAGCCUAGUGGUUAGAGUGGAGGGGUGGCAGGGUAGCCUAGUGGUUAGAGUGUAGAGGUGGCAGGGUAGCCUAGUGGUUAGAGUGGAGGGGCGGCAGGGUAGCCUAGUGGUUAGAGUGUAGAGGUGGCAGGGUAGCCUAGUGGUUAGAGUGGAGGGGUGGCAGGGUAGCCUAGUGGUUAGAGUGGAGGGGCGGCAGGGUAGCCUAGUGGUUAGAGUGUAGAGGUGGCAGGGUAGCCUAGUGGUUAGAGUGUAGAGGUGGCAGGGUAGCCUAGUGGUUAGAGUGGAGGCCUAG